CCCUUAGAUGUUCUGGGCCGCACGCGCGCUACACUGAUGCAUUCAACGAGUCUAAAACCUGCUCUGAUAGGGGUGGGUAAUCUUUUGAAUGUGCAUCGUGAUUGGGAUAGAUGAUUGCAAUUUUUCAUCUUCAACGAGGAGUGCCUAGUAAACGCAAGUCAUCAGCUUGCAUUGAUUACGUCCCUGCCCUUUGUACACACCGCCCGUCGCUCCUACCGAUUGAAUGAUCCGAUGAAUAUCAUGGAUUGAGGAUGUAAGCAGGUUCGCCUGUCUUCAUCUUCGAGAAGUGAAGUAAAUCUUAUCAUUUAGAGGAAGGAGAAGUCGUAACA
rnacentral:rRNA from 1 species